rnacentral:ncRNA from 2 species
UUGGGCUUGUCAGGAGAGAGUCGCGCCGGGUCAUCCGACCCGCGAGGCCGCCGAAGGCGCAGGAGACCCGCUACCCCGCAGGUCCUGAACGCUCAGGCAAAAGGACUGACAAGCGUCG